AACGCGAAGAACCUUACCUGGGCUUAACAUGCUGGUGGUAGGCGCCGGAAACGGUGGCCGACCCUUCGGGGAGCCAGCACAGGUGCUGCAUGGCUGUCGUCAGCUCGUGUCGUGAGAUGUUGGGUUAAGUCCCGCAACGAGCGCAACCCUCGUUCUAUGUUGCCAGCACGUUAUGGUGGGGACUCAUAGGAGACUGCCGGGGUCAACUCGGAGGAAGGUGGGGAUGACGUCAAACCAUCAUGCCCCUUAUGUCUUGGGCUUCACGCAUGCUACAAUGGCCGGUACAGAGGGUUGCGAUACUGUGAGGUGGAGCUAAUCCCUAAAGCCGGUCUCAGUUCGGAUUGGGGUCUGCAACUCGACCCCAUGAAGUCGGAGUCGCUAGUAAUCGC
rnacentral:rRNA from 1 species